rnacentral:rRNA from 1 species
CGGGAGGCAGCAGUUAGGAAUCUUCCACAAUGGGCGAAAGCCUGAUGGAGCGACGCCGCGUGAGGGAUGAAGGCCCUCGGGUUGUAAACCUCUAAAAGGGGGACGAUAAUGACGGUACCCCUUGAAAAGCACCGGCUAACUCCGUGCCAGCAGCCGCGGUAAUACGGAGGGUGCAAGCGUUAUCCGGAAUCACUGGGCGUAAAGGGCGUGUAGGCGGCCUGUUAAGUCCGAUGUUAAAGACCGGGGCUCAACCCCGGCACGGCGUUGGAUACUGGCAGGCUAGACGGCUGGAGAGGAAAGUGGAAUUACCAGUGUAGCGGUGGAAUGCGUAGAUACUGGUAGGAACACCCAUUGCGAAGGCAGCUUUCUGGACAGCCCGUGACGCUGAGGCGCGAAAGUGUGGGGAGCAAACCGGAUUAGAUACCCGGGUAGUCCACACCCUAAAC